rnacentral:tRNA from 617 species
GCGCCCGUAGCUCAAUGGAUAGAGUACUGCCCUCCGAAGGCAGGGGUUGCUGGUUCGAUCCCAGCCGGGCGCGCCA